rnacentral:rRNA from 1 species
AUACGUAGGGUGCAAGCGUUAAUCGGAAUUACUGGGCGUAAAGCGUGCGCAGGCGGUUUUGUAAGACAGUGGUGAAAUCCCCGGGCUCAACCUGGGAACUGCCAUUGUGACUGCAAGGCUGGAGUGCGGCAGAGGGGGAUGGAAUUCCGCGUGUAGCAGUGAAAUGCGUAGAUAUGCGGAGGAACACCGAUGGCGAAGGCAAUCCCCUGGGCCUGUACUGACGCUCAUGCACGAAAGCGUGGGGAGCAAACAGGAUUAGAUACCCUGGUAGUCCACGCCCUAAACGAUGUCAACUGGUUGUUGGGGAUUUAUUUUCUCAGUAACGAAGCUAACGCGUGAAGUUGACCGCCUGGGGAGUACGGCCGCAAGGUUAAAACUCAAAGGAAUUGACGGGG